AUUGAACGCUGGCGGCAGGCUUAACACAUGCAAGUCGAGCGGGGUGAUGGUGCUUGCACUAUCACUUAGCGGCGGACGGGUGAGUAAUGCUUAGGAAUCUGCCUAUUAGUGGGGGACAACAUCUCGAAAGGGAUGCUAAUACCGCAUACGUCCUACGGGAGAAAGCAGGGGAUCACUUGUGACCUUGCGCUAAUAGAUGAGCCUAAGUCGGAUUAGCUAGUUGGUGGGGUAAAGGCCUACCAAGGCGACGAUCUGUAGCGGGUCUGAGAGGAUGAUCCGCCACACUGGGACUGAGACACGGCCCAGACUCCUACGGGAGGCAGCAGUGGGGAAUAUUGGACAAUGGGGGGAAACCCCUGAUCCAAGCCCAUGCCGCGUGUGUGAAAGAAAGGGCCCUUAUGGUUGUAAAAGCCACCUUAAAGC
rnacentral:rRNA from 1 species